UACGGGGGGGUAAGCGUUGUUCGGAAUUACUGGGCGUAAAGGGCUCGUAGGCGGCCAACUAAGUCAUACGUGAAAUCCCUCAGCUUAACUGGGGAACUGCGUGUGAUACUGGAUGGCUUGGGAUUUGGGAGAGGGAUGCGGAAUUCCAGGUGUAGCGGUGAAAUGCGUAGAUAAUCUGGAGGAACACCGGUGGCGAAGGCGGCAUCCUGGACCAAUAUUGACCGCUGAGGUAGCGAAAGCCAGGGGAGCAA
rnacentral:rRNA from 1 species